CCCGCUCAGAAACUUAAAGGAAUUGACGGGGGCCCGCACAAGCGGAGGAACAUGUGGUUUAAUUCGAUGAUACGCGAGGAACCUUACCUGGGCUAGAACGCAAUCGGAAUCAGGCCGAAAGGUCUGCGCCAGCGAUGGCCGCUUGCGAGGUGCUGCAUGGUUGUCGUCAGCUCGUGCCGUGAGGUGUCGGGUUAAGUCCCAUAACGAGCGCAACCCCUACUGCUAGUUGCCAGCGGGUCAUGCCGGGGACUCUAGCGGAACUGCCAGCGUAAGCUGCGAGGAAGGUGGGGAUGACGUCAAAUCAGCACGGCCCUUACGUCCAGGGCUACACACGUGCUACAAUGACCGGCACAGCGGGAAGCGGAGGGGCGACCCUGAGCGGAUCCCUUGAAAGCCGGUCCCAGUUCGGAUUGCAGUCUGCAACUCGACUGCAUGAAGUUGGAAUCGCUAGUAAUCGCGGAUCAGCCAAGCCGCGGUGAAUACGUUCCCGGGCCUU
rnacentral:rRNA from 1 species